UUUCUCUUAGGUGGAAAUACCUCCAGUUCAGAGCUUUAUGAUGAUCAACAGGCGUCCAAUCAGAGCUUAGAGGGAAUGUCAGGUGUAAAUACCUCCACUUCAGAGCUUUAUGAUGAUCAACAGGCCAACAAUCAGAGCUCAGAGGAAAUGUCAGGUGAAGGUCUCCCUAUUGAAGCAACCAUUCAAACCGAGCCAUGUAAGAAAUGCACACUCAAAAAUGACACAGG